GUUACGGGCUUGCACCACUGCGGUCUCCCACCCAGGGAGCAGCUCUGUCCAACCACAGCGAGCCUCCAGCUCCUACCCUCUGCCUGGGCUGGGGCAGAGCCUGGGGUCUGGGUGGGAGAAGCGUGACUCUGGGAUGAGACCUUACAAAGCAGGUUCCUCCUGGGAGUCAGCCCGGGUCUAAACGCAGCUGGGCAUGAAGGGGUGCCAUCGGAUGUCGAGUUAGGAGGACGAGAGACCUCCAGCCCCGGCACCCGCAUGUCUCUUUGGAAACCAGCUUUGGCUGCGCCCCUGGGGACACUGUCUGCCGUGGCCUCCCGCUCUCCUCCCCGGCACAGGCAGGGGGUCUCCCUCCUCCACCGCCACUCCCUUGGCCUCGCCCUCCCCGCCAGGCACCUGGCUUUUCCCCACCGACCCCCCCGGGGGACUGCGGCCCCCAGAAAGGCUGCACUCUGGGAGCAAAGUGGCCUGAAACCAGAGAAAAGAACGCCGGGGGAUUUGGCUUAAACUCGUUAAACCCAAUGAACCCUCUUGCCGAACGAUCGCAGUCUGCGCCCGGUCUUUUAAUCUCGUUCGGGCCUCGGGGUAAUUUGUUUAGCUGUGCUGAUCAGCUGAAGGUUAAUUCAAUUGGACUUGGGUUAUUUCCGGGAUCCUUCUCAGGCAGCGGCAGAUGAUGGAUUGCACGUGGACACUGCCUGGGAUGCGUGCGACUUGGCAGCCUGCCCCUUUCCUGCCCUGGGAUCAGACGCCCUGGCGGGUGUCCUUUUCCUGGUCCCCUGUCCUCCUAGCCUGGGGCGGCGUCUGGAGCGGGGAGGCUCACCCCUGUGCCCACGUCCUCAGGCCACCUGCCAGUCCCUGCCCACCCCGGCCGCGGAGGGGCUGUGGAGACUCAGGGAGUUCUGGGAUGGCACAGAGGGCCCAGGCUGGUAGCAACCAAAGCCGUGGGAAAUGUGGGAGGGAUGGCAGGUGUCCCCCGAGGAGUAGCCCAGGUGCCCCGGAGGCUGCUGAGAGGGUUGAGAGUGCAGAGACGAGGGGCCCAGGGAAGUCUUGGAUUCUCUCGCCAUCUUCAAUGUCGGAGCCCAGACGGGGCAAGGCGAGGAGGAGCCCGGGGCGAAGACGCCACCCACAUUCCUCCUUCCCGCAGGCUUCUUCUCCUUCUAGCCCUUCCAGGAGAGAAACCAUCCCACAAGUCCAGAGUAGUGGCGUCCCCGGGGCCAUGUCUCCUGAGCAAACACUGUUUUCUAGGAGUCCGAGGGGCCUCAGCCAUCUAGGUCAAUCCCUUUGCAGAACGGUGAAGGAAUCUGAAGCCCAGAGAGGGAAAACAAUGCCUCCUGGGUCACACAGCCCAUCAGGGGCAGGGCAGGGACGAACGGCGAGAAAAGGACCAGCGAAACGCAGGCCUUCAGGUUUGGCUGGUCAAGGGUACCACUGAGAUCUCCUCUCUGGGUCCCUCUCUUUCUGGGGAUGGAUUUCCUCCUUGCUGCUGGGGACAGUGGCCACCAGAUGUUCUAAACGCCCAUCCUCCCAGCAUUGUGACCCAAAGGGUGACAGCAAUCAUUCUGUCUGGGAGAGAAUUUCCAGGAAAGACCGAGUCAUGUGCCCGAGCUGCUCGGCAUGGCCCGGGGGUCAGCUGGUCUCGUGCUGGGGAGGGGUCGGCUCCAUGACUGGCAGCUCGGCUCUGGCCACAGUGCACCAGGGAUGCUGGGGCAGGUGAUGGGCUGGCGUGCUUUGUGCAGCCACUGGUCCAGGCAGUGCAUCGGGGAUAUCUUCAAGGCGGGCGAGCACAGGGCCUCACGUUGGGGCACCCAGCUCCCUGCCAGCCCAGCCUAUCCGACCCGUGAGACCUCUCUGCCCUCAGGUCCCCCCGCCCCAGGAAGUGAGGCGUGUGAAGUAAGGUAGGGGAGAUGGGGGAGUGGGGU
rnacentral:lncRNA from 1 species